UUAGAACUGACGAGUGCGAGAGCCUUCGACAGUCUGAGCACUGGUGAACAUCUUCAAGGGGUUUUUAUACGAUUCCCGCGACAUUGUGGUUCCAUAAGGGUAUUGAUUGUUACCGGUUACUACGUGUUAAGAUACAGAAGUCAGAAGUGAUAUAUGACCACUUAUAUUACGUGACUAAAGAAUCUGUUGGUUUCACUUGAUAAACGAUGGAGCCUGCUCUUAUUGACACUACUAUUAACUGUUAUCGUUCCAAUUAUCAAAGUGGAGAUUGAAUUAUAUUUUGUGGUUAAAUCGUAAUACAAUAAAUAAAAGGAAAGCAGCCCCCAGAUACGAAGUGCGUCGU